AGGCGAAAAAGCCACAAGUAAAGAAGUUGCUGUGUGAACCCGCCUUGGUGUCCGUGUUGUUCUUGUCUCCGUCGGAGUGGGACAGCGGCAAGUGGUGGCCCAUACGGAGAACUCAUCACAUUGGUCGGCAAAGAGCCAUGGGUGCUUUGCUGUCUGCUAUCUGUAGCUCAGGCUGCCACCAGCUGGGGACAUGCCAUGCGUCUGUCAUUGCUCAGCACCUUCUACCCACGAUCCAAAAGACACUGCUGCUGCUGUCUGACCCCUGGGUCACACAGGACAAAAACCAGGUCCCUCUGUGAGAUUCAGAAAAACCAGAAUACUGAAAA
ensembl:lincRNA Gm12865 predicted gene 12865